ACUGCUUAGAGGUUAAGCCCGAUGAACCUGAAUAUCCAUUAUGGAAAAUUCAACAUUAAUAUUAUAAUAUUUAUUUAUAAAUAUUAUAAAAAUAGUGUGCAAUUUUUCCAUAUAAGGACAUUGUAAUCUGUUAAUGUAAUAAAUAUUUAUCAUAAGAUUCAGUAUAUAAAAGUUUAUUCAAAUUAGUUAUUUUCCGAUUUCUAACAUAGAAUAAAUUUAAUUGAAUUUGAUAAAUCAUUGACAGAUUUAUUUAUAUAUAGUGCUUAAAUUCUUAAUUGAAUUUUACAAUAAUUUAUAAAUGUAUUUUCAUUUAUUUAUUUAUUGUAUGCACUUAUAUGAUUAACAAUGCUAUAGAUUCAGGAUACCUUCGGGACCCGUCUUGAAACACGGG
rnacentral:rRNA from 1 species